GUUUACGACCAUACUACGUUGAAUACACCGGUUCUCGUCCGAUCACCGAAGUUAAGCAACGUCGGGCUUGGUUAGUACUUGGAUGGGAGACCGCCUGGGAAUACCAGGUGUCGUAGGCU
rnacentral:rRNA from 11 species